GGCGUAUACAUGGACAAUCUUUUGUGUUAGUUUAAUAGUAAUAAACAAGUAUAGUAAUAGUGAUAAACAAGUGUUAAACAAGCAUAGUAAUAAUAAUGAUAAAUAGUUGUAAUAGUGAUAAACAAGUGUUAAACAAGCAUAGUAAUAAUAAUGAUAAAUAGUUGUAAUAGUGAUAAACAAGUGGGCUUAUUUAUAUUUGGGUGGGCUUAUAUUCAGGGGGGGGGCUUAUAUUUGGAAUGAGGUGAGCGUUAGUACAUGUGGUGGGCUUAUACGUGGGGGGGGGGGACUUAUACAUGGGGGGCUUAUAUUUGGAGAUUUACGGUAUAUCCUGCAUGUACAAAACAUGCAUUACAUUAAUGAUAUAAUAUCAUCAUUAUCAUAAAUUGUGCAUUAUCAUAAACUGCAGGUUGUUGGCUAUAUUGCACAAUUUGAAUUUUUCACAAACACUCCCUCUGCAAUCAAUGAAAUCAAACUUAUCUCUUCCAGAGGUCCAGUACCAAUAGACAAGGGGUUGAGAUCCUGAUAAAAGGGGUUGAGCAUUCCUCUACACAAAAA